rnacentral:siRNA from 1 species
AAUCCAUUGAUAUCUUGAGAUCGU